UCACAAUAAGCCAGGGACAGUCCUAAGUGCUAUAUAUGAAAAUUAUUAUUUCAUUCUCACAAGUAUUCGAUAACAUAGUUACCAAUUUCCCCUCUUUUAAGAGAAAGCUUAAAACUGUGAAGAAAACUUAUGUCUCUUCUGUACGUCCUACAUGAUCUUUGUACUUGGCUACUUUUUUCCUCUUGGAAAAAAAAUCAUCAGUCUCAUUUAAUAAUUCCACAUCUUCAUGAAUUUUAAGAACGAAAUCUUUAGCAUGGGUCUUCCCUACCUGCUCCAUGUUACCCCAAGCGUAGCUGUUCUCUCUGAGCACAUAUAUCUCUAAUUCCUGACUUUUGUGUCCUGUGUUUUGGGUUUGUUCGGUUCCCUGUGUUCAGGUCAAAAAAACAGAGAAGGAGGUACUGGACUAAAGGAACGAGUUAAACUUCUUCCCUGGGCUGGAGGCACUUACGGUCUAACGGGUUAGUCAAUACGUGAAUGGAUGAUUUACUUCCGAUCGUGCCAGGCACCCUACCUGUGCAUGUGCAGCAAGCUCUGACAGUGAAGCAACAACUCAGGGCAAGUCCUACUGCAAAGAAAGAGAGGGUGUUUUCUAAACUCCUUCAGCUUCGUGCUUUACUACAAUAAUUCCAGUAAACAUUCGUGGGCUGCAGUGAGCUACUCAGGGACUGUUUUGAUUACAGCUCUUUCAUACCUUGUAUCAGAUAGGCCAUGAGAGCACACACUGUUUGCUUAAUCUUGGACUAAAGAUGAUAGACUAGGUUAUAUAAAAGUUCUGAAAAUGAUUCAGUUCCCGCUUCCCAGAAAAAUACAAGAAACUCUGACACACAGUUACAAAAGCAUUCUACUGGUUGGGCUCAAAACCACAGUUAGAAAAACUAUUUAGCAAUGUUAGAAUAGAUGUUUAUGACAUUUGCAGUGUUAGACAAUAACAUAUUAGACAAUAAUAUUUGCACAUUCAUUACAUGAAUUUCAGGCUAACUGUGCUGGUGGCUCGGGGGUGGGAGAAAAGAAGGAUGUGGUCCAUCCUGGCAGUCUAGUUAGGGAGAUUCUGUGAACCUAGAAUAAGAAGCCACUCUAUCAAGAACCAGGGCUGUGAGCACUCCAAAUUCUAGCAAAUUCAAUUGCAUUUCACUGAUGUUUAUAACCCUCAUUCAUUGUUGGACUGUACAUGUAUUAAGGAACUUCUUAAGAGGAUCUCAGAACUGUGACAGUAUCUAACCAAGCAAUGAAUUAGGAUGAAACAAAGCUGUUUUUCCAUCUAUAAAUGCACGUCCCUAAUAAUAAAAAAAUCUGCUUUUGCAGGGGAGGCAUGAGCAUGUGUGUCCUUCAAGUUCCGUUGGCAAGAGGAUAUUUCCUGGAAGAAGCACCACUAGUUACUGCAGUUUACAGAAACAUUUACUAAAUCACUGUCAUUUUUGACGGGUCCCUUUAAAAAAAAAAAAAAGUGUGUCAAAUACUGAAAUGUAAGAAUUUAGCUGACAGGACUAGAUUCCUUGCUAAGAAAAUUCUACGCAGAGAAGGGACACUAGCAAUCAUAACACUGAAAUUUUUAAGGGUUCUUAUUCUCAGAUGAAAAGAUUCAUUUUCUCCUUCUCCAUCAUCCUUUCUCAAACAAAUAACCUCUUCCUAAAUUUCUUGUAGAAGAGGGGAGAGUAGGGAGAGGAUAAAAGUCUAGGUGGGAGGAACUUUUGAAAAUAGUGUCCCUUCCCCCACUCCAUUUUGGGGGGAUUACAUUGUGUGUGAAAAAGAGAAAACUUAAGUAUCUGAAUACACAAAUCAGAUACCUUGAUACAGUUAGUUUCAGGAGAUACAGUAACUCCUACCUCACAAGCGAGCCUUUGACAGCUUUUUCACUUUGCAGAGAUGGGAAUUUUUUUUUUUUUUUUUUUUUUUUUUUUUGGUCUUGUCUUUUGUCUUUUUAGGGCCACAUCUGAGGCACAUGGAGGUUCCCAGGCUAGGAGUUUAAUCGGAGCUGUUGCUGCCGGCCUACACCACAGCCACAGCAACAUGGGAUCCGAGCUGCAUCUGCGACCUACAGACCUACACCACAGCUCACGGCAACGCCGGAUCCUUAACCCACCAAGCAAGGCCAGGGAUCGAACCCACAACCUCAUGGUUCCUAGUCGGAUUCGUUUCUGCUGUGCCACGAUGGUAACACCAAAGAGAUGGGAUUCUUCUUACAGUGUGGUUUGAACCGCUGUAUCCUAUACCUGAGUUUAGGUGGUAAUAAUUCCUGUUUGGGCAUGAGUCAGCAGUAUUGUUUUCCAGUGUCACCAAGACAACAUACAUGACUGGAUCCCAACUAACACAGAGAUCGGAAAAGUUUUUAUCAAAAUGCAUGUGAACAUCGGCAUUAAGACUGACAGAAUUAACCACUGCUUCUUUUUACCGGUAUGUUAAAAGAAAUGUUACUCUUCUGGAGAAGAACUGUGCUCUUGCACUUCUAAAAUACAUCUUAUGAUAAAUCGUAUUUUACUUCAGCACAGUAAAGUACCAGUUUUUAAGUCCCAAAAGACAUUUAGUGUAGAUGUUUACUUUGCUUCCUUUGAAUAAGCAUCAGGUAGCAUAAGCAUAAAGCCUAAAGGGAAGGGAGUUAAGAACCUGUUAAGACAGUUGAAAAGGCAAGAGAAUCCCUAUUUUUUAUAGUAUUAUUAAGACCUUAGAAUUUUGACUAUUAAUACUAGAAUGAGAGUAGUGCAGUCAAAACGCAGAAUUUGGACAGGACUGCAAAAAAGUAGCUGUUAUCCUUGGAAAGUCAAAUGUCUCCACCUCCCUCAGGGUUACUGAUGCUAUUUUCCCAGGGCUUCUUGGAAAAUGUCACUGUUUUAUUUGGGUUCUUUCCAGGUGCUUUAUUGAGAGAGCAAGAUGGGGGAAGAGGAAAAUAUCAUGAACAAUUGAUCAUGGAAGGACGGGAAAUGCUGACCUCAGUAUGCAUCUGUUCUUUCCACAUAAAUUCUCAUAAAUAUACUUGUGGAGGAAGAAGGAUGGUCAGAAAAUGUGGUAUUGGUCAUCUUCUGAUUGUUUUAGCAAAAUAAUUCUCAAAUAUAUUCAUUCUAAAUCCUUACAUUUAUACCUUAAAUGUGCACUUCUAAAACCAUCUGUGGUGAAGCACCAAAUCUUAAAAUUUCCAACCCAAUGCAAACAUUUGUCAAAUAUAGUAGAAAUGAGUUACUAGAAAAGUAAUUUUUUUAAAAAAAGCAAAGAAUACAAAGCAUAAGCCCCUAAACUUUGUAUUAUUGAUUUCAACAGACAUAAAUACUGUUCCAAAUUGUCAUUAAAAUUUAUAAAUGCUUAUUCUCAGCUUCUAUACUAACUUAAUUACAGUCUGAAAAGAACUGUCUUAAUCAAACACAUGUCCACAAACACAGCACACAUACACAUCACAAGAAGCACACACAAAAACACAUCAAAGUAUAACUAAAUUUCUAUCAAUUUAAAAAAGAAUUUAAAUUUACAUUAUUAUUAUUAUUAUUUGCUUUUUAGGGCUGCACCUGCAGCACAUGGAAGUUGCCAGGCUAGGGGUCAAAUCAGAGCUACAGUUGCCGGCCUACACCACAGCCACAGCAAUGCAAUAUCUGAGCCAAGUCUGCGACCUACACCACAGCUCAGGGCAAUGCCAGAUCCUUAACCCACUAAGCAAGGGCAGGGAUCAAACACGCAUCCUCAUGGAUCCUGGUUGGGUUCCUUGACCACUGAGCCACGAAGGGAACUCCCUAUAUUAAAUUUUUAUAUGGCAUUUUUUUAACUCGCUUCAUAUAAAAAAAGCUGAUGAGAAAACAGCAGUCUGCUACCCCACCUUUUCCCACCUUCUAGUACCUACGCAGAGUGGCAACAAGCUAACAAUCAAACCUGUCAGAAAAGCUGUCUAUGACUAUCUCCCCAGCCUGACCCUCCUCCUAACUCUCCUCUGCCUGCUUGUCACAGCUGCUGGCCUGGGUAUUCCCUCUGUCUCUCUUCCAUGCAGGUGUUCCUUUCAAGAAAGAUUAUAUUACCGUUCAAUAUAUUUGUUGCUCCUGCACUGGAGUUGAUUAUACUUGCCCCAUCAAUGUCAGGCUUGGUUAUGACCUGUGAUGUCCCAUUCAUUAGAAGAAUUUUACAUAUCUGCCUUGUUAAUCUUAAAAGUGACCAUGUGACUUGCUGUGGCCAAUGACAUGCAACAUUCCAAGGUGAGAGUUUAAGAGACACAUCUAACAUCUCUUUUUCCUCUGCCACCAGACUAGCAAUUUCCCAGAUAAAGGAUGCGUCAUCAGCCUGGGUUCCAUUUUGAAGGUGACAAGGAGCAGAAACAAAUGAUGGACAUGCUUGGUGAGAAGAAAUAAACCUACAUUGUAAAACCAUGGAGGGUUUGGUACUGUUUGAUACAACAUCAUAACCUCAGCUGACAGACACACCCUUGCUUCCUAGAUCUUUUUUUUUUCUUUUUUUUUUUUUUUUUUAUUCCCUCAAAUACUGGCAAUGUUUACCUUCCAGUAGUUUCCUGAGAAAGUGUUCAUAACAGGUAAAGACCUAAUAUGUCUGAAGAUAACAGAAUACUGAAUUUGAAAUAAUUUUCCCUCAGAAUUAGAAAACAUUGAGACAUUGUCUUCUAGCUUCCAGUGAUGCUGUUGAGAAGACCGGUGUCAUUUUUAUUUCUAGUCCUUCGUACAUCCGUACCUUCAUCCCCUCACAGAGACUUUUAAUGGGUGUUCUAAAAUUUUACAGUCCUGAGCUUUGACGUGGGCCUUUUUCAAGAGGUGUGAAUAUCUCUUUCAAUUGUUUUUUUUUUGUUUGUUUGUUUUGUUUUUGUCUUUUUAGGGCCACACACUCGGCAUAUGGAGGUUUCCAGGCUAGGGGUCGAAUUGGAGCUGUAGCCAUUGGCCUAUGUCAGAGCCACAUCUUCGACCUACACCCCAGCUCAUGGCAACACUGGAUCCUUAACCCACUGAGUGAGGCCAGGGAUUGAACCCGCAACCUCAUGGAUGCUAGUCAGAUUUGUUUCCAAUGAGCAACUACAGGAACUCCUCUCUUUCAAUCUUAAUGCUCAAGUUUUCAAAUCCAGGAAAAUACCUUCAAUAGUUUUUCCUCUUAAGAUCAUCUUUAAUUCCUUUUUAAAAUAAGAAUUUAGUUUUAUCAAAGUUAUACAUGCUCAAAGUUUACAGACUCAACAGCCCUCUCACUGAAUAUUUACCAUUCCCCGAGAGAGCCACUGUGAAUUUUCCAGCAAAUUCUUUGGAAUUGACCUCCAAAUCUCUACACAACAUUUUAAUUGGUAACUUGAUAUUUCUGCUUUAGACAUUACUUGCUGAGUUUUCAUUAUGGAAAUAAGGAUUUAUUCUCCUGCUUCUAUGUACCCGCACCACAUACAUGCUCCUUUCACUAUGUAUCAUAACUUUAACUAGGAUAAUAAUGAGUAUUUACAUUAUUAGGACUUUGUAUUCCAGUUAGAUUUGAGUCAUAUAAUAACUAGGAUUAGUUUUCCUUUCCUGCCAAACUUUUUGUUUUCCCUGGAGUUAAUAAUUGUAUUGCUCUUUUUGUUUACCUAGUUUCCUAAGCACAUACCACUAAUUCAAAACUCUCUACUGCUUGCUUAAAUCUCAUCUCAAAUACAUUCAUACACAUCAGACUUUGUGUUUGGUUGGUUAGUUGGUUGGAUAGUUUGUGGGUUUCUCUCUUUCAUGCAGAAUCAUUUCCUUAAAUAUACUGGAGUACCCCCAAACAGAGGUCCUUUCUCCGUAUUUCCCAAGAUAGAAGGACUGAAUGUAUUUUAGUUAGCAGCUUGUUAGCUGGGUUUAUGACUUUUAAAUAUUUGAACAAAUGUUCUAUAGACCUCACUUUGUACCCACUCUUCUCCCACUCUGCCAAGUCAUUACCCUUCCUCCAUCCAUCCCAUCUUCUAAAUAUGUGCUGAAUUCUCUCAACAGCUAUUAUCUGCUUUUCUGUUCUUUUUGCCCUCAAGGAGUUGUAUAAGUAUCUUAUUGCUGCUGUAACAAAUUAUCACAAACAUAAUGUCUUAAGACAAUACAAAUUUAUUAUCUUACAGUUCUGGAGGGUCUAAAGUCCAAAAUCAGUCUCAGUGGACUAAAAUCAAGGUAUAGGCAGGGCUGCAUUCCUUCAGAAAACUCUAAGGGAGGAUUACUUCUUUGCCUUUUCUAGAUCCUACUGGCAUCUGCAUUCCUUGGCUCCUGACCUCAUUCUCUAUCUUCAAAGCCAGAAGCAGAGCACUUUCCAUUUUUUUCCUCUCUCUCUCUGACUCUAACUCUCCUGCCUCCCUCUUUACUUUUUUUUUUUUUUUUUUUUUUUUUUUUNACAGGCCAGGAGUCGAAUUGGAGCUUAGCUGCCAGCCUACACCACAGCCACAGCAAUUUGGGAACCGAGCCUCGUCUUCGACCUACACCACAGCUCACAGCACUCACUGAGCGAGGCUAGGGAUCAAAACCUCAAACCUCAUGGUUCCUAGUCGGAUUCGUUUCCGCUGCGCCACAUGGGAACUCCCCUCCCUCUUUACUUAUGAGGAACUUUGUGAUUACAAUGGGCCCACUCAAAUAAUCCAGGAUAAUCUCCCCAUCUCAAAAUCCUUAACUUAAUCACUUCUGAAAAAUCCUUUUUUUUCAAGAAAGAUUACAUAUUCAUAUGUUCCAGGGAUUAAGACAUAGUAUCUAUGAAGGGACUACUGCUCUGUCUAUCAUAUGGGUUUAUACUUUUCUUACUCCCUAAAUGUGGGAUGUCAGGAAUGAGCAAAGUAAAAAGUAUGUAUUCAAUCACCUUGCCUGAUCAGGAGCUCAAAUUGUAUGCGUGCUGUUUUCAAUCCCUGGACUCUUCACGUAUCUUGUUCUCAAAUAGAUAUGAUAAUAGUAUACAAAUAAUAAUAGAAAUAACCAAAUAUCACUAAAGCUCUUAAUCUAUACAUAUGAUUAGGAUAGGUCCCAAAAAAUGUUUUAAUAAAUACUGAGCACCACUGUUUAUGAGAUAAUUUGGCAGGGAGUUCCCGUUGUGGCUCAGUGGGUUAAGAAUCCAACUAGUAUCCAUGAUACAGGUUCGAUCUCUGGCCUUGCCACGAGCUGUGGUAUAGGUCACAGACUUGGCUCAGAACUGGCGUUUGUGUGGCUGUGGCGUAGGGCAUAGGGCUGAGGGCUGUUUUUAGAACACCCAUUAAAAGCCUCCAAAUGGACCCCUAGCCUGGGAACUUCCAUAUGCCAUAUAUGCGGCUCUAAAAAGACAAAAAAAAAAAAAAAAAAAA
ensembl:lncRNA